GAUGAACGCUGGCGGCGUGCCUAAUACAUGCAAGUCGAGCGAACAGACGAGGAGCUUGCCCCUCUGACGUUAGCGGCGGACGUGUGAGUAACACGUGUAUAACCUCCCUAUCUGACUGAUAUAACUUCGGGACACCGGCGCUAAUACCGGAUAACAUAUUGAACCGCAUGGUUCAGUAGAGAAAGACGGUUUUGCUGUCACUUAUCGAUGGAUCCGCGCCGCAUUAGCUAGUUGGUAAGGUAACGCCUUACCAAGGCGGCGAUGCGUAGCCGACCUGAGAGCGUGAGGGGCCACACUGGAACUGAGAUACGGUCAAGACUCCAAUGGGAGGCAGCAGUGGGGAAUAUGCGGCAAUGGGCGAAAGCCUGAUGGAGCAACGGCGCGUGAGUGAUGAAGGUCUUCGGAGUGGAAAACUCUGUUAUUAGGGAAGAACACAUGUGUAAGUAACGAUGAAGGUCUUGACGGGACAUAUGCAGAAAGCGAAGGCUAAAUACGUG
rnacentral:rRNA from 1 species